AAGAUUUUUACAUUUCAAUAUCGCCGUAUCUCAUUGUCAUUCGUACUUCUUCUAUAAACCUCGGUUAGUUUCGCCGGGGUUUUU
rnacentral:ncRNA from 1 species